GCCGGAUUAGCUCAGUUGGUAGAGCGACGCAUUCGUAAUGCGUAGGUCCCCGGUUCAAGCCCGGGUUCCGGCU
rnacentral:tRNA from 2 species